UACGAAGGGGGCUAGCGUUGUUCGGAAUUACUGGGCGUAAAGCGCACGUAGGCGGAUAUUUAAGUCAGGGGUGAAAUCCCAGAGCUCAACUCUGGAACUGCCUUUGAUACUGGGUAUCUCGAGUAUGGAAGAGGUGAGUGGAAUUCCGAGUGUAGAGGUGAAAUUCGUAGAUAUUCGGAGGAACACCAGUGGCGAAGGCGGCUCACUGGUCCGGUACUGACGCUGAGGUGCGAAAGCGUGGGGAGCAAACAGG
rnacentral:rRNA from 1 species